CAAUAGCGUAUAUUAAAGUUGUUGCGGUAAAAAAGCUCGUAGUUGGAUUUCUGUUGAGAGCGACCGGUCCAUACCAUGUAUGCGUAUCUGGCUUGCUCUCGGCAUCCUCUCGAUAGACGUUACUGCGCUUGAUUGCGUGGUGCGGAUCUCGGGACUUUUACUUUGAGGAAAUUAGAGUGUUCACGGCAGGCUUUCGCCAGAAUACAUUAGCAUGGAAUAAUACUAUAGGAUCUUGGUUCUAUUUUGUUGGUUUCUAGAAUUGAGAUAAUGAUUAAUAGGGACAAUUGGGGGCAUUCGUAUCAACACGUCAGAGGUGGAAUUCUUGGAUUGUGUUGCGACGGACUACUGCGAAAGCAUUUGCCAAGGAUGUUUUCAUUGA
rnacentral:rRNA from 1 species